rnacentral:tRNA from 1 species
GCGGGUGUAGCUCAGUGGUAGAGCACAACCUUGCCAAGGUUGGGGUCGAGGGUUCAAAUCCCUUCGCCCGCUCCA